AAUGGGGAGAUUCAUCGUCAGCUCAUUUUGUAUAUAUAUANGUUAUGAUGCGGGUUACUACUUGUAGUAUUGCCUGUACAUUCUUGUAUAUUUAGUUGCAAGAUGUUGUCGGCGUGCACUUCUCCCCUAGUAGAACGUCGCGACCUGUUGGGUGUCGGUCUACGGCCCAAGUGAUAGACUUUAUUGUAAUUUAAAAAGCAUUAAAGAUCCUGGUGUUUUUUGACCGACUACUUGGCAGUAUUCGUACGGUAAUUAGCCGCUAAAUUUAUUAAGCGUCCAUAACCGUCACAAGCGAGGCUAAUUUACUGAUAGUACGGACCUAGUGCCGUCGUUGGUAUUGGCCAGCUGUUGGUUGUAUGGUAUUCUAGGACUGGCUAAAAUUAAUUAUCGGUCGGCGAUGCUACUGCUUUGGGUACUUUCAGGACCCGUCUUGAAACACGGACCAAGGAGUCUAACAUGUGCGCAAGUCAUUGGGAUUUUUUUUAAAUUAAACCUAAAGGCGCAAUGAAAGUAAAAGUUGGCCUUGCGUC
rnacentral:rRNA from 1 species